AUUGAACGCUGGCGGCAGGCCUAACACAUGCAAGUCGAACGGUAACAGGAAGAAGCUUGCUUCUUUGCUGACGAGUGGCGGACGGGUGAGUAAUGUCUGGGAAACUGCCUGAGGGAGGGGGAUAACUACUGGAAACGGUAGCUAAUACCGCAUAACGUCGCAAGACCAAAGAGGGGGACAUUCGGGCCUCUUGCCAUCGGAUGUGCCCAGAUGGGAUUAGCUAGUAGGUGGGGUAACGGCUCACCUAGGCGACGAUCCCUAGCUGGUCUGAGAGGAUGACCAGCCACACUGGAACUGAGCCACGGUCCAGACUCCUACGGGAGGCAGCAGUGGGGAAUAUUGCACAAUGGGCGCAAGCCUGAUGCAGCCAUGCCGCGUGUAUGAAGAAGGCCUUCGGGUUGUAAAGUACUUUCAGCGGGGAGGAAGGGAGUAAAGUUAAUACCUUUGCUCAUUGACGUUACCCGCAGAAGAAGCACCGGCUAACUCCGUG
rnacentral:rRNA from 1 species